CACAUGCAAGUCGCACGAGAACGCCCGGGCCUAGCCGGGGCAAGUACAGUGGCGGACGGGUGCGUAACGCGUAGAUAACCUGCCCUCAGGCGCGGGACAAUCGCGGGAAACCGCGGCUAAUACCGCACGACGUCCGGAUCCCGCAUGGGAGCCGGAUGAAACCUUGGGUUCGCCCAGGGGCCUUUGGAUGGGUCUGCGUCGGAUUAGCUUGUUGGUGAGGUAACGGCUCACCAAGGUAGCGAUCCGUAGCUGGUCUGAGAGGACGAUCAGUCACACUGGGACUGAGACACGGCCCAGACUCCUACGGGAGGCAGCAGUGGGGAAUCUUGCACAAUGGGGUCACCCCUGAUGCAGCCAUGCCGCGUGGAGGAAGACACCCCUAUGGGGCGUAAACUCCUUUUCUGAGAGAAGAAGCCCCUGUAGGUUCAGGGCGUGACGGUAUCCCAGGAAUAAGCACCGGCUAACUCCGUGCCAGCAGCCGCGGUAAUACGGAGGGUGCAAGCGUUGUCCGGAAUCACUGGGCGUAAAGGGUGCGCAGGCGGGGCAGCAAGUCGGAGGUGAAAGCCCGUGGCUCAACCACGGAAGUGCCUUCGAAACUGUUGCUCUUGAGUCCCGGAGAGGUUGCCGGAAUUCGUGGUGUAGCGGUGAAAUGCGUAGAUAUCACGAGGAACACCAGAGGCGAAAGCGGGCAACUGGACGGGUACUGACGCUCAGGCACGAAAGCGCGGGGAGCAAACAGGAUUAGAUACCCUGGUAGUCCGCGCCGUAAACGAUGAAUGCUCGCCGUUAUCCCGCUUAAGGGAUAGUGGCUAAGCUAACGCGUUAAGCAUUCCGCCUGGGGAGUAUGGUCGCAAGGC
rnacentral:rRNA from 1 species